AGUGAACGCUGGCGGUAGGCCUAACACAUGCAAGUCGAACGGCAGCACAGUAAGAGCUUGCUCUUACGGGUAGCGAGUGGCGGACGGGUGAGGAAUACAUCGGAAUCUACUUUUUCGUGGGGGAUAACGUAGGGAAACUUACGCUAAUACCGCAUACGCCCUACGGGUGAAAGCAGGGGAUCUUCGGACCUUGCGCGAUUGAAUGAGCCGAUGUCGGAUUAGCUAGUUGGCGGGGUAAAGGCCCACCAAGGCGACGAUCCGUAGCUGGUCUGAGAGGAUGAUCAGCCACACUGGAACUGAGACACGGUCCAGACUCCUACGGGAGGCAGCAGUGGGGAAUAUUAGACAAUGGGCGCAAGCCUGAUCCAGCCAUACCGCGUGGGUGAAGAAGGCCUUCGGGUUGUAAAGCCCUUUUGUUGGGAAAGAAAAGCAGCAGGUUAAUACCCCGCUGUUCUGACGGUACCCAAAGAAUAAGCACCGGCUAACUUCGUG
rnacentral:rRNA from 1 species